AUCGCUUCUCGGCCUUUUGGGUACGACCAAGUGGAGUACCUGUUUUUAUCAGUUUAAUAUCUACCACAUCUAUGUCCUCAAUUUGAGGAUACUAUAUUUAGCGUCCUUUUGGGGGUACGGAGGUGGGUUGGGAGCUUGUUCCGUUUCCUUCACACAUUGGCCUGAUAUUGCAGUGCUUCCAGAACGGGUGCCUUUCCA